UACGAAGGGGGCUAGCGUUGUUCGGAAUUACUGGGCGUAAAGCGUGCGUAGGUGGUCGUUUAAGUCUGUUGUGAAAGCCCUGGGCUCAACCUGGGAACUGCAGUGGAAACUGGACGGCUAGAGUGUGGUAGAGGGUAGCGGAAUUCCCGGUGUAGCAGUGAAAUGCGUAGAGAUCGGGAGGAACAUCCAUGGCGAAGGCAGCUACCUGGACCAACACUGACACUGAGGCACGAAAGCGUGGGGAGCAAACAGG
rnacentral:rRNA from 1 species